CGGGGAGGUAGCGAAGUGGCUAAACGCGGCUGACUGUAACUCAGUUCCUUUCGGUUCGGUGGUUCGAAUCCGCCCCUCCCAACCA
rnacentral:tRNA from 1 species